GGGCCCGCACAAGCGGUGGAGUAUGUGGUUUAAUUCGAUGCAACGCGAAGAACCUUACCAGGGUUUGACAUCCUGCGAAUCUCUUGGAAACGAGAGAGUGCCUUCGGGAACGCAGUGACAGGUGGUGCAUGGCUGUCGUCAGCUCGUGUCGUGAGAUGUUGGGUUAAGUCCCGCAACGAGCGCAACCCACGUCUUUAGUUGCCAGCAUUUAGUUGGGCACUCUAAAGAAACUGCCCGUGAUAAGCGGGAGGAAGGUGUGGAUGACGUCAAGUCCUCAUGGCCCUUACGGGUUGGGCUACACACGUGCUACAAUGGUAGUGACAAUGGGCUAAUCCCAAAAAACUAUCUCAGUUCGGAUUGUCGUCUGCAACUCGACGGCAUG
rnacentral:rRNA from 1 species